rnacentral:rRNA from 1 species
AUGCUGCUGUGGAGAUGUUGGCAUGUGCGCAACGAGAUCACUCAUGACAAACCGGCGCCGCCUGUGGAGGUAUCUCAUCGCUUUUUGCAGAGCUACGUAACCUCACUGCUCGGGAUCCAGCAGCAUCCGCAGGGAGAUUGGGACAAAGGGAAGAUGACCAUCCAACAAGAAGGUGCAGAAAAGCCUAUAUCGCAUGUGGGAGGUGUGCCACGAACAGCCCACAAAUGGAGUCCCCCACCCGCCAACUGGACGAAGCUGAAUGUCGACGGCUCCUUUUCCCAUGAUGACGGAAGGGCCGGGACGGGAAUGGUGCUCCGUGACCAGGAAGGGGCCAUUAUUUUCUCCGCGUGUCGCUCGCUAUGGUCUUGCCCGGACCCUCUACAUGCUGAGCUAGCUGGGUGCAUGGAGGGCAUAGCUUUGGCCCUCCAAUGGACGGAGCUGCCGUUUAUCGUCGAGUGCGAUAGUCUGCGGGCAGUGCAACUGAUCAAUGCCUCAGGACAAGACCGGUCGCAGUACGCCAUGGUGGUCUCGGAAGUGAAGCAUCUUAUGAGUGAAAGGGAGUGUCAUGUUAUUCAUAUUUCUCGAGAGCAGAAUAAUGUAAGCCAUACGUUGGCGAACUUCGGAAGGACGGAAGACCGUACUGUGGUCUGGCUCCGCUCCGGCCCGGACAAUAUCCCUAGCUUGUGUAGGGAGGACCUUCUUGGCUCUUGA